GACGAACGCUGGCGGCGUGCUUAACACAUGCAAGUCGAACGGAAAGGCCCUGCUUUUGUGGGGUUCUCGAGUGGCGAACGGGUGAGUAACACGUGAGUAACCUGCCCUUGACUUUGGGAUAACUUCAGGAAACUGGGGCUAAUACCGGAUAGGAGCUCCUGCUGCAUGGUGGGGGUGGGAAAGUUUCGGCGGUUGGGGAUGGACUCGCGGCUUAUCAGCUUGUUGGUGGGGUAGUGGCUUACCAAGGCUUUGACGGGUAGCCGGCCUGAGAGGGUGACCGGCCACAUUGGGACUGAGAUACGGCCCAGACUCCUACGGGAGGCAGCAGUGGGGAAUAUUGCACAAUGGGCGGAAGUCUGAUGCAGCAACGCCGCGUGCGGGAUGACGGCCUUCGGGUUGUAAACCGCUUUCGCCUGUGACGAAGCGUGAGUGACGGUAAUGGGUAAAGAAGCACCGGCUAACUACGUG
rnacentral:rRNA from 1 species